rnacentral:rRNA from 1 species
UACGUAGGCAGCAAGCGUUGUUCGGAGUUACUGGGCGUAAAGGGUGCGUAGGUGGCUCUAUAAGUAUGGUGUGAAAAUCUCCCGGCUUAACUGGGAGGGUGCGCCGUAGACUGUGGGGCUAGAGUGUGGGAGAGGAAAGUGGAAUUCCUGGUGUAGCGGUGAAAUGCGUAGAUAUCAGGAGGAACACCGGUGGUGUAAACGGCUUU